rnacentral:misc_RNA from 1 species
GAUGAAGAACGUAGCGAAAUGCGAUAAGUAAUGUGAAUUGCAGAAUUCAGUGAAUCAUCGAAUCUUUGAUCGCACAUUGCGCCCCCUGGAAUUCCGGGGGGCAUGCCUGUUCGAGCGUCUCAGGGACGAACCCUCGCGCGGGUGUACGCGCGGUCGUGGCUGCGGUGGCGUGCCCGAGGCGGCGGCCACCGCGCUGGAAUCCAUGGGCGGACGCCUGCCGCGUGGCCGAGCGUGAUAUGACGCAUUGGCGCUCGCACGCGGCGAGGCUGCCAGCCCUGGCCCGUCUGUCGGGCGGGGGAGAGCAAGACACGUGAACUCCUCGAAUCAGGUAGGGAUACCCGCUGAACUUAAGCAUAUCAAUAAGCGGAGGA